CCUUGUAGUUAUUGUUUUGCCUGAUGAUGUUAACUUGGAUAACUUGAAUAAAAACCUAGGAGUGCUGUGCCACUAAUCCUAACACACAGUGUUAAUUGUUGUCAUUUCUUAACACCGAUCACCUGAUGGGGCCUGAAAUUAGGCCGAGCUCACAGAACAGGCUUGAGGUAGCACAAAUGCGACACUUAGUGACCCAAAUGAAGAUCUUUCCAAAUUAAACCUGAGCCGUUUUUAUCCAGGCUCCUGGGCUGGAUUUAUAGUUAUAUUGAUAUUUAUAGCAUUUACCAGAUGUCUUUAUCCAGAGCAAUGUACAGAAGUGCUUUGUAGAACCUCCACACACUAGUACACAGAGGUCAGGGUUUAAAAAUAGUGGAAAGCUGAAACUCUGUUAGAGAGGAGUUAGUGUGCGAGAUACACAUCGAGAAAUUCACUCACUCGCAGUCACUGAGCGCUUCAUCCUGAUCAGGGUGGAGUAAAAGCCGGAGUCUUUCCCGGGAACGCUGGGCGAUGUUCAUCACGAGAAAGCCGUGUUUAAUGAAGCUGAAAGGAUGAAAGAAUGAACAUUUCUUCCUACGCCUCCUCACAAACAGGUUACUGUAAUUCCUAAUUCACGAGGAUUUCCCGAAGUGCAGAUGGAAUGACUGCAGUGGAGUAAGGAACGUGCUGGUGGAAAAAAAUAAACAGCAGAAAGCUGUGACGUCAUCGUGGUUUCUUGGAUCUGUAUUAACGGCUGUGUUUAAUGGACGUGGGAGUGAAAGUGGAGAAAAUGGGAAGAAGCCGAAAGAAGGCAGCCGAUGAGUGAGAGAAAGACCUGAGGAAAUUCUGGUGUGGUGGCAGAUGGUUUCUGCUGAAAAACUCAAUAAAACAACAGUAAGUGAAUUAGAGGAGCAGCGUAAAGGAGGGAGAAGAAUCAGGAAAAAAAGUGCUUUUCAUGUCUCAGGCAGCAAUUACAGUCUCGCUGUUUGGACUUUUAGAUUUUAAAUGUUUCCCUAUUUGAAUUUGGUUUGUGAAAGAACAGCAGGAAGCAUCCUGAACUUUUUUUUUUUAACAAUGAAACUGAAGCAUUGCAUGAUGGGAAAAUCACAGUGAAACACGUUCAUGUACGGUGCAUCGUCCAAUUAUCAUGAACAUUCUGAGUGACUGACGUCAUGGUGAAUUGUGUAGAAAUAAUGAAUCAAAGCCUUUGUAGCUAAAAUAGACACAGUUGCACUCAGACAUCGCAUCACUCGUUUUCACAAGUUUGAAGAAAACAGUAGAGGAGAUUGUUUGGAACACAGGAGCGUUCACUUUUUCAUUUCACUCGCAGACAUCUGCCAUCACAUCAAACCCCAAACUUGCCAUGUAUAUUUAAUCACUUCAUGUAAAGUUAACAAAAAUGACGUGAGUUCCUGAAACAGGAAGUGAGGCAAUAUCUCAUCAGCAGUUUGAUGUUUUGCCUGUAAAUAAAGAGGGAAUAAACGCUGAUGGUCCCGAUGGCUUGGUGACAGAAAGUGCCUGGCCCCCUUAAUUGCUGCUUGCAGCUGUAUGAUUCAUUUGCAUUUUUAAAUACAUUCUGCUGUUUUAUGAAAUCGCUUGUGUACAAAUGAUGUUACUGAGCCGAACGCCGAGCUGAACCGCAGGAUAUGUUACUCAUUAGCUACAUCAGCUCAUUGUAACUGCAGUGGAAAACUAGAGUAGACUACGAGUCAUGACUAAUAAACUAAAGCAGCUGUGAAGAGGACGAGGAAGAGAUUUUAAUUUUCACCAAACACUCAUUUUAAAAUAAACUUUGUUUCAUGCUCUGCUAUUCUGCCUCUCUCAAACCUCUCACGUAGAACCGUCAUUAUCACACUAAUCUGCUCCA